ACACUUUUUUAAGAGAUACAACAAAUUAUACAUCAACGAGUAUAAAACUAUGCUCACUUUUAUAUCCGGGAUCGGAUCGGACAUUAAUGUUUCAUAUACGUAAACAAAGGACUGCACUUGCUCUUGAGGCACUUUGGGUGCGAAUACCUGCUUACAGAUGAGAUCGUUGUUUAUCCACGUGUCAUUUUUGAUACUUGAAAUGCGUUGAGCGAACGUAUUUGUAUAUUCAACAUUUGGUCAGCACACGAACCACCAACAACAAAAGGACGCAGGACGAAGGACGCGAUCUCUGAUGUGAUGUGUUUGUUACCUAAACAAACAAAAGCUGCUGCUGCUGAUUCAACGGCUGCUGCGGAAAUUAAAACUGAAAUGAAAAUGUUUAGGGGAAAGGGAAAUGCAGAGACAGCGAGAGAGAGAGGAAAGGGAAGUGAAAUGAACCUGAUCUACUUACUGGCAAAUGCGACUGACCGCGCGCGGGUUUAAAAGGUCAGCAACAACAACAACAACAACAGCUUCGACGGCAGCUGACUUUUUUAAAGCACAAACAAAAGCGAAAGCGAAAGCAAAAGCCUUUACCUUUACCUCCCUUCAACCUCCCUCUGUUUACUCUAGAAUUUUUUUGGUUUUUAAUAAAUUAAACAAAUAUGG